rnacentral:rRNA from 1 species
AUUGAACGCUGGCGGCAUGCCUUACACAUGCAAGUCGAACGGCAGCACGGGAGCAAUCCUGGUGGCGAGUGGCGAACGGGUGAGUAAUAUAUCGGAACGUGCCCAGUCGUGGGGGAUAACGCAGCGAAAGCUGUGCUAAUACCGCAUACGAUCUACGGAUGAAAGCGGGGGAUCGCAAGACCUCGCGCGAUUGGAGCGGCCGAUAUCAGAUUAGCUCGUUGGUGGGGUAAAAGCCCACCAAGGCGACGAUCUGUAGCUGGUCUGAGAGGACGACCAGCCACACUGGAACUGAGACACGGUCCAGACUCCUACGGGAGGCAGCAGUGGGGAAUUUUGGACAAUGGGCGCAAGCCUGAUCCAGCAAUGCCGCGUGCAGGAUGAAGGCCCUCGGGUUGUAAACUGCUUUUGUACGGAACGAAACGGCUCUUUCUAAUAAAGAGGGCUAAUGACGGUACCGUAAGAAUAAGCACCGGCUAACUACGUGCCAGCCGCCGCGGUAACAC